rnacentral:rRNA from 1 species
AACGAACGCUGGCGGCAGGCUUAACACAUGCAAGUCGAACGCCCCGCAAGGGGAGUGGCAGACGGGUGAGUAACGCGUGGGAAUCUACCCAGAUCUUCGGAACAACUGAGGGAAACUUCAGCUAAUACCGGAUACGCCUACGGGGAAAGAGUUAUCGGUUCUGGAUGAGCCCGCGUUGGAUUAGCUAGUUGGUGGGGUAAUGGCCUACCAAGGCGACGAUCCAUAGCUGGUCUGAGAGGAUGAUCAGCCACACUGGGGCUGAGACACGGCCCAGACUCCUACGGGAGGCAGCAGUGGGGAAUAUUGGACAAUGGGCGAAAGCCUGAUCCAGCCAUGCCGCGUGAGUGAUGAAGGCCUUAGGGUUGUAAAGCUCUUUCAGUGGGGAAGAUAAUGACGGUACCCCACAGAAGAAGCCCCGGCUAACUUCGUGCCAGCAGCCGCGGUAAUACGAAGGGGGCUAGCGUUGUUCGGAUUUACUGGGCGUAAAGCGCACGUAGGCGGAUCGUUAAGUCGGGGUGAAAUCCGGGCUCAACCCGGAACUGCCUUCGAUACUGGCGAUCUUGAGUCCGGAAGAGGUGAGUGGAACUCCUAGUGUAGAGGUGGAAUUCGUAGAUAUUAGGAAGAACACCAGUGGCGAAGGCGGCUCACUGGUCCGGUACUGACGCUGAGGUGCG